rnacentral:rRNA from 2 species
AGCGGCAGGCUUAAUACAUGCAAGUCGAGGGGCAGCGCAGUGUAGCAAUACAUGGGCGGCGACCGGCAAACGGGUGCGGAACACGUACGCAACCUUCCUUCAAGUGGAGCAUAGCUUUCGGAAACGAAAAUUAAUACUCCGUAAUAAUACCGGGUGGCAUCAUUGGGUAUUUAUAGAUCCGUCGCUUGAAGAUGGGCGUGCGCCUGAUUAGGUAGUUGGCGGGGUAACGGCCCACCAAGCCUACGAUCAGUAACUGGUGUGAGAGCACGACCAGUCACACGGGCACUGAGACACGGGCCCGACUCNUACGGGAGGCAGCAGUAAGGAAUAUUGGUCAAUGGACGCAAGUCUGAACCAGCCAUGCCGCGUGGAGGAUGAAGGCCCUCUGGGUUGUAAACUU